rnacentral:lncRNA from 1 species
CCAAGCUCUCCAGGAACACCUGGUAUGGAGGAGGGACAGUUUCCCAAAGAGAGGACCCUGGAAACAGACACAACAAGAAUAUGUCUCAAUGUCUAGCUUUGGAGAAAAGAGCGGAAAGGUCCUACUUUGGCUUCAAAUUUCAUCCAGCUUCUCCACUCCAACUGAUACCAGAGAGUUCUGAAUCUGGUGGACCGUUGGGUAUUUCACAGCCAUUGAUGAGGCUUUGGUUUUCAUUUGUAUCAUGACCCUCUGUCACCAGAACCCAGAAUGGAGAGGGGGUGAUUCUUGGGCCCACACUCCCGAAUGUUUAUUAGCUGUUAUCACCUGUCUUUACUGCUUCCCUAAGAACAGGGACUUCUGACUUGGCUCCCACUAUACCCCCAGCAUCUAGCAGAGUGGGUGCUCAAGAUGUAUACAUUAACUAAUGAACACGUUUGGCCAGAAAUGCAUCCUUCAAUUUUGUUUUUCUUCCCAAUGGUGACACGUUGACAAACAUUGGAAGCAAAGUGUGGAGCCCACUGGAAAUAAAAGCCGUACCUUGCGUCUGCCA